CAUUAUUGGAGAGUUUGAUCCUGGCUCAGGACGAACGCUGGCGGCGUGCUUAACACAUGCAAGUCGAGCGCUGAAGCCCUUCGGGGUGGAUGAGCGGCGAACGGGUGAGUAACACGUGGGUAAUCUGCCCUGCACUCUGG
rnacentral:rRNA from 1 species